UACGUAGGUGACCAGCGUUGUCCGGAUUUACUGGGCGUAAAGAGCGCGCAGGCGGUCGUUCAAGUCGAGUGUGAAAGCCCCCGGCUCAACUGGGGAGGGUCAUUCGAUACUGAUCGACUGGAAGGCAGGAGAGGGAAGCGGAAUUCCCGGUGUAGUGGUGAAAUGCGUAGAUAUCGGGAGGAACACCAGUGGCGAAGGCGGCUCUCUGGGACGGUACUGACGCUGAGACGCGAAAGCGUGGGGAGCGAACAGG
rnacentral:rRNA from 1 species